rnacentral:sRNA from 1 species
GGAUGUGAGGACAAUGUGGCUGUUGCACCUGUCAUCUCAUUGAUCGCCCAGGUUGAUUCAGCUGAUGGGUAUCCACUUCCUCCCACAUAACUCCAUGUGUAUCCCUCCCAAAGCUGCUCACUUGGUAGAAGACUACAACUAUCACAGAUAGAAAGAGUGUAUUGUUUUUCAGUCAAGGGUAUACAUCUUGACUCAGCGUUCCAUUUUCUUCAGGCCUAAGGAUCUUGCAUAAGUCUUCCAAGUGUUACAUUUUUGGAGGAGUCAUAGCACAUACAAGAGAUGGACACAAACCAAAAGCAAUUGUGGUUUGU